CCUACGGGUGGCAGCAGUGGGGGAUAUUGCACAAUGAGGGAAACCCUGAUGCAGCGACGCCGCGUGUGGGAAGACGGUCCUCUGGAUUGUAAACAACUAUCCCCAGGGACGAAGAUGACGGUACCUGGGGAGGAAGCUCCGGCUAACUACGUGCAAACAGCAGCGGUAAUACGUAGUGAGCGAGCGUUGUCCGGAUUUCCUGGGUGAAAAGGGAGCGUAGGCGGGACUGCAAGUUGGGUGUCAAAUCUACCGGCUCAACCGGUAGCCGCACUCACAACUGCAGUUCUUGAGUGAAGUAGAGGCAGGCGGAAUUCCUAGUGUAGCGGUGAAAUGCGUAGAUAUUAGGAGGAACACCAGUGGCGAAGGCGGCCUGCUGGGCUUUUACUGACGCUGAGGCUCGAAAGUGUGGGGAGCAAACAGGAUUAGAUACCCCUGUAGUC
rnacentral:rRNA from 1 species